AGGCGUACGCCGGGAUCCUCGUGAUUGGCUGGUACGGGGUGGGCAGCAAGUGUGGCUGCGCUCGGGGUGUGUGGACGCCGCUUUGUUGCCCGAGGGGGUGGUGGUGGAAGUUAAGGGGUUCGGGGGCUAGCGCUUCUUGGGGCCCGCACGUCGCGGCCGCUCUGCCUGGUCGCCUUGAGCGUAGGAGUCGCGCCGACGGCAGCCAUGAGCGGCGGCGUGUAUGGGGGAGAUGAAGUUGGAGCCCUUGUUUUUGACAUUGGGUCUUAUACUGUGAGAGCUGGUUAUGCUGGUGAGGACUGCCCCAAGGUAGAUUUUCCCACAGCUAUCGGUAUGGUGGUAGAAAGAGAUGAUGGAAGCACCUUGAUGGAAAUAGAUGGCGAUAAAGGCAAACAAGGAGGUCCCACCUACUACAUAGAUACGAAUGCCCUGCGUGUUCCCAGGGAGAAUAUGGAGGCCAUUUCACCACUGAAAAAUGGCAUGGUUGAAGACUGGGACAGUUUCCAGGCAAUUUUGGAUCAUACCUAUAAAAUGCACGUCAAAUCAGAAGCCAGCCUGCAUCCUGUUCUCAUGUCAGAAGCACCAUGGAAUACUAGAGCAAAGAGAGAAAAACUGACAGAGUUAAUGUUUGAACACUACAAUAUUCCUGCAUUCUUCCUUUGCAAAACUGCAGUUUUGACAGCAUUUGCUAAUGGUCGUUCUACUGGACUGAUUUUGGACAGUGGUGCCACUCAUACCACUGCGAUACCAGUCCAUGAUGGCUAUGUCCUUCAACAAGGCAUUGUGAAAUCCCCUCUUGCUGGAGACUUUAUUACUAUGCAGUGCAGAGAACUGUUCCAAGAAAUGAAUAUAGAAUUGAUUCCUCCGUAUAUGAUUGCAUCAAAAGAAGCUGUGCGUGAAGGAUCUCCAGCAAACUGGAAAAGAAAAGAGAAGUUGCCACAGGUUACGAGGUCUUGGCACAAUUACAUGUGUAAUUGUGUUAUCCAGGAUUUUCAAGCUUCAGUACUUCAAGUGUCAGAUUCAACUUAUGAUGAACAAGUAGCUGCACAGAUGCCAACUGUCCAUUACGAAUUUCCCAAUGGCUACAACUGUGAUUUUGGGGCAGAACGGUUAAAGAUUCCGGAAGGAUUAUUUGACCCUUCCAAUGUCAAGGGCUUAUCAGGAAACACAAUGUUAGGAGUCAGUCAUGUUGUCACCACAAGUGUUGGAAUGUGUGAUAUUGAUAUCAGACCAGGGCUCUAUGGCAGUGUGAUAGUGGCAGGAGGAAACACACUGAUACAGAGUUUUACUGACAGGUUGAACAGGGAGCUCUCGCAGAAAACUCCCCCGGUAAAGUAUGCGGUUGAAAUUGAUUGCAAAUAACACAACAGUGGAACGGAGGUUUAGCUCAUGGAUUGGUGGCUCCAUUCUAGCUUCUCUGGGUACCUUUCAACAGAUGUGGAUUUCAAAACAAGAAUAUGAAGAAGGAGGGAAGCAGUGUGUGGAGAGGAAAUGCCCCUGAAAGAGUUCCCAAGCCUCUACCUUCCUCCCCACCUUACGUUUCAUAGCUUUAGUAUACUCAGGAAAAGGAUGACCAUCUUUUGUAGAAUGUUUAUACGUUUUUGCAUAUUUCAAUUUCCACUUAAAUUUUUUAAGGCUUUAACUGGCUCUAUAAAUUAAAAUAAGUUUGUGCUUUCCUUGAAAUACACUUAUUCUUAUUACAAGCAUUUUAUAAUUUUAUAUAAAUGUCUAUUUUCUCUAAAUAUUUUGCUUUCAGUAAAAUACUUUCCAACUCUGUUUAGUAUAUUAAUUACCAGUGAAUUGGUAGAACUGCUUUUAUUGACUAGUAAAAGUUACUGCCUAUGCUUUUUACUUUAGGCUUACAAAUUAAAUAAAAAUUCCUAGCCAUUCCAGAAAUAU